UACGAAGGGUGCAAGCGUUACUCGGAAUUACUGGGCGUAAAGCGUGCGUAGGUGGUUUGUUAAGUCUGUUGUGAAAGCCCCGGGCUCAACCUGGGAAUGGCAAUGGAUACUGGCAGGCUAGAGUGCGGUAGAGGGUAGUGGAAUUCCCGGUGUAGCGGUGAAAUGCGUAGGGAUCGGGAGGAACACCAGUGGCGAAGGCGGCUACCUGGACCAGCACUGACACUGAGGCACGAAAGCGUGGGGAGCAAACAGG
rnacentral:rRNA from 1 species